rnacentral:rRNA from 1 species
GACGAACGCUGGCGGCGUGCUUAACACAUGCAAGUCGAACGGUAAGGCCUUUCGGGGUACACGAGUGGCGAACGGGUGAGUAACACGUGGGUGAUCUGCCCUGCACUUCGGGUUAAGCCCGGGAAACUGGGUCUAAUACCGGAUAGGACUGCGCGGUGCAUGCCGUGUGGUGGAAAGAUUUAUCGGUGCAGGAUGGGCCCGCGGCCUAUCAGCUUGUUGGUGGGGUAAUGGCCUACCAAGGCGACGGCGGGUAGCCGGCCUGAGAGGGCGACCGGCCACACUGGGACUGAGACACGGCCCAGACUCCUACGGGAGGCAGCAGUGGGGAAUAUUGCACAAUGGGCGCAAGCCUGAUGCAGCGACGCCGCGUGAGGGAUGACGGCCUUCGGGUUGUAAACCUCUUUCAGCAGGGACGAAGCGUGAGUGACGGUACCUGCAGAAGAAGCACCGGCCAACUACGUG